AUGAAAAGAGAAAUUAAUUGUUUGUGGCACUAGUAGCUCGAUAUAAGUUCUUGUUGCAAGUUGUUGAAAAACCAAAAGUUAUCACAAUAUAGGUAAGGAAUUAAUGAAAUUGAUUAUUAAAUCCGUGACAAAAAAAUAAAGCAUAAUUUUGUGUUGCAUAUAUUUUAAAUCACAUUGUUUGUAUCAUAUAUAUAAUAUCUACGUUUCCUCUCUCUAUUCCUAACCCAACCAAUUUGCUUGGCUAGCUCUUCAACACCAUUUCUUAAGUGUCCAAUUUAUAUUUUAGGUACGUAAAUAAGGAGUGGAAUUGAGCAUGGAAAAUGAUCAAAUUACUAGCAAGGAAAUGAAAGUUGAGAUUAAUCCAUCAAGUAAUGUUGGACAAAGUGGACUUAUGAGACAACCUAGUAUGACCAAAAACAAUUGUCUAUGUUCACCAACAACACAUCCUGGUUCAUUUCGUUGUAGGCUUCAUCGUAUACCUAGUCUCACAAGGACCAAAAGCAUGGAGCCAGAAUCAAUCUCUGAUCAAACAUCUACUAUUGUUGGUGCUGACAAGGAUCGGAUUCAUUAAUCUUUCGUUCAAAUUAAUUAAUGUUCAAUAUUAUUUAUUAUUAAGUAACUAUGGUUACUUUUGUUCUGUAUAAUUUAGUGAUUAGGUGUGUGUGUCAUGUUUAUUAUUGUAUGAAAUUUUCUUUGCAAAAAAAAAAAUUAUUGUAUGAAAUUUUUUCUUUCA